UACGGAGGUUGCAAGCGUUAUCCGGAUUUAUUGGGUUUAAAGGGUGCGUAGGCGGACCUAUAAGUCAGCGGUGAAAGACUGUCGCUUAACGAUAGCAUUGCCGUUGAUACUGUAGAUCUUGAGUACAUUUGAGGUGGGCGGAAUGUGUAGUGUAGCGGUGAAAUGCUUAGAUAUUACACAGAACACCAAUUGCGAAGGCAGCUCACUAAACUGUAACUGACGCUGAGGCACGAAAGCGUGGGGAUCAAACAGG
rnacentral:rRNA from 1 species